rnacentral:rRNA from 1 species
CCAGACUCCUACGGGAGGCAGCAGUGAGGAAUAUUGGUCAAUGGGCGCAAGCCUGAACCAGCCAAGUCGCGUGAGGGAAGACGGCCCUACGGGUUGUAAACCUCUUUUGCCGGGGAGCAAGCCUGAGCACGUGUGCCCAGGCGGAGAGUACCCGGAGAAAAAGCAUCGGCUAACUCCGUGCCAGCAGCCGCGGUAAUACGUAGGGGGCAAGCGUUAUCCGGAUUUACUGGGUGUAAAGGGAGCGUAGACGGUGCGCCAAGACUGGAGUGAAAUGCCGCAGCUUAACUGCGGAACUGCUUUGGAAACUGGCGAACUAGAGUGCGGGAGGGGUAAGCGGAAUUCCUAGUGUAGCGGUGAAAUACGUAGAUAUUAGGAGGAACACCGGUGGCGAAGGCGGCGUACUGGACCGUAACUGACGUUGAGGCUCGAAAGCGUGGGGAGCAAACAGGAUUAGAUACCCCUGUAGAA